GUGUCAGAAGGGAAGGCUGGAAGAAAUUUAGGCAAAUUAAGCCCCAAAGCACACUAUAAUUUUCUAUUUCUGAACCGAUUUGUGAGAGAAUGGGUAACUGAAAUUAGCAAAGAAUCACCCCACACAAAGAUGGCGCGUGCAGAAUUUGUGAAAGCGAAAAAGAAGACGAAGGAGAAGCAACAGAGGGACGGAAUACUGCAGUGCUGGGGUGCAGCUGGAGUCCAGAAAUGAUUUUUUUCGAUGAAUUUAGGAUUUUGUCGCAGUAUACAUCUGCAGUCCCAGAAUCCUCCGUAUGGCAGAGACUCUUGUGUCAAGCCAACGAAGGCCUGGAGAACACAUAACUCCAAGCACGAAAAGUGUUCCUGGCAUAGCUGAAGCG